UAGCGGCGAGUGAAGCGGCAAAAGCUCAAAUUUGAAAUCUGGCGCCUUCGGUGUCCGAGUUGUAAUUUGAAGAUUGUAACCUUGGGGUUGGCUCUUGUCUAUGUUUCUUGGAACAGGACGUCACAGAGGGUGAGAAUCCCGUGCGAUGAGAUGCCCAAUUCUAUGUAAGGUGCUUUCGAAGAGUCCAGUUGUUUGGGAAUGCAGCUCUAAGUGGGUGGUAAAUUCCAUCUAAAGCUAAAUAUUGGCGAGAGACCGAUAGCGAACAAGUACAGUGAUGGAAAGAUGAAAAGAACUUUGAAAAGAGAGUGAAAAAGUACGUGAAAUUGUUGAAAGGGAAGGGUUUGAGAUCAGACUCGAUAUUUUGUGAGCCUUGCCUUCGUGGCGGGGUGACCCGCAGCUUAUCGGGCCAGCAUCGGUUUGGGCGGUAGGAUAAUGGCGUAGGAAUGUGACUUUACUUCGGUGAAGUGUUAUAGCCGGCGUUGAUGCUGCCUGCCUAGACCGAGGACUGCGAUUUUAUCAAGGAUGCUGGCAUAAUGAUCCCAAACCGCCCGUCUAAAAAAAACGACAACAAGUGAUUUCAGUGGGGACCGGUUUGGUGCGACGAGACUUUUCUCUCCCCUUAUCUGAUUGACCAUGCAGUU
rnacentral:rRNA from 1 species